UGCCGGCAGGGUGCUUGGUGCUUGGUGCUAACACUGUUAUUCCCUCAGUCCUGAACCAGGUGAGGGAACAGGUGGUGGCCAAGGGCAGGGGAUGGAGGGGGUGGGUGGAGGUGGAGACAGACAGGCAGACACACACACACAGAGGGAGGUGGACAGAUGCUGUUGGGGAGGCACAGACACUAAGGGUGUCUUUUUUUUUUUUUUUUUUACUGUGACACCCUUUUCAAAUUUUAGUAAUUGUGGCACUGAGAAUGUCUUACCCUGACAUUUCUCUUUGGAUGUGACAACUCUUACAGUGGAGAAUUUAUUUAAAUAUUCAAAUGGAUUUUAAAGGAUUCCUGGAGGAAGCUAUGGCUCUUAGUAUUAUUAAUCUGACUCUGCUGAAGUCAGUUCGCUUCUGGACCAGGAACUCAAAACCCUCCCUCUCUGUGGACAGAGAGAACUGAGGGGGGGGGGGGGAACCAGCCAUUGCUGCCAGAGCCAUGAUUCCUAUCACGAUUGUCAUCUCUCUGAGGGGACACAUCCGGAGGCAGACGACUCAAGGUUGGAUGUUUGAACGCUGAGAUCCCAAGUAUUUACUCCUGCCCCUAACAUUUUCCGGGCCCCAAUCUUCUGUGCUCUGUGGUCCUAAAUGCUGGGCUUUCACUCGAGUGCUCGCCAUCUGUUCAAACAAACCCAAAGCCGCUGUUCUUUCUUCUCUCCCGGGUAUUGGACCCAGCGGACAUCUCAUUUUGUGUGGGCUCACAAGACACGCCUCAGUGAGAUACGGAAGAGGCAGGCAUCAGAGAACUUCCUGGGAGUGUCUGGGUGACUCAGUCGGUUAAGUGUUCGACUUCCACUCAGGUCAUGAUCUCACGGUUUGUGAGUUUGAGCCCCGCUCUGUGCUGACAGCUCAGAGCCUGGAGCCUGCUUUGGAUUCUGUGCUCCCUCUCUCUCUGCCCCUCCCCUGCUCACGAUCUCUCUCUCUCUCUCUCUCUCUCUCAAAAAUAAACAUUAAAAAUUAAAAACACACAAAAAAAGAGCUUCCUGAUUCCUUUCCUCAUUUGUACGUGUUGCAUUGCUUUCCUCCUGCUUCAGAAAUAAGCCAAAGCCAGAUGCCUGGUGGCUCAGUCGGUUGAGCGUCCGACUAUUGAUUUCAGCUCAGGUCAUGAUCUCACGGUUCAUGACAUCGAACCCGGUGUCAGGCUCCACGUUGAUCGUGGAGACUGCUCAUGCUCUCUCUCUCUCAAAGAGAAAAAACAAACAAACGAAAGUAAAAGUAACUAUGAACCAUGUCUCCGCUGUCACGCAACACCCGACAGACUCUGCGUUCCGGCUCGAGCAGUGUCUCACAUGAACGCACACGGCAUUUGCCUCACUCACUGCCACAAACAUCUGGAUGCUCCUUUCUCAACCACAGAGGGCAAUCUCGACUGGCCUGUCAUACAGCUCGUUUCUCAAAACUCCAGAGCAGACGUCUUGUUCCUUAGCUUCUCUGGUGCCCCUUCCCUGGGAAGGAGAGGGUGGGUUCCAAUCUCGCUUGCCCUGAUGCUUGUGUGAACUUGGGCAAGUUACCCGUCAUCUCCAAGCCUUGUUUGGACAAGUCAGGUAUCUGCCUCGGUGGGUUAUCCUGAGGAUAAAGGAGAUAAUGUAGGUACAGAGCACUGCCCGCUGCCUGGCAUGUAGUCCGUGCUCAGUAAACAGCAAUGGUAGUGGUGUUUCGACAUGACUGGUUUCACAAGCCUGUCGCCCAAUGUUUGCAUCACAACGUGUCCCUGCUCAAACCAGGAGGUCAGAAUGUUUCACUUCGGUUUGGGAAACAGUGAGGGAGUCGAGGGGGCACUAACAUUUCUUAAUCCUUAUCAUCUCCACGGUGGAAAAUAUCAAUCGUUAUCAUCUCAUUUUAGAAAUAAGGACACUGAGCCUCGUUCUUGGCGAUAGUCGCUCAGGUUGGCCUGCAUGGGAAACCGGUGCCCCUCCCACCUAAAAGUGCUCAAGAUCUCAGGGCACCUGGGUGGCUCAGGCAGGUAAGUGUCCAACUCUUGAUUUCGGCUCAAGUCAUGAUCUCACAGUUCGUGAGUUCGAGCCCAGUGUCAGUCUCUGCACUGACAGCUCAGAGCCUGCUUGGAAUUCUCUCUCCCUCUGUCUGUCCCUCCCCUGCUCACUCUCUCUAAAUAAAUAAACAUUAGGGGAAAAAAAGUUACAGCAAAAAAAAAAAAAAAGCUAAAGAUCCCUGUAGAGCAAAAGCUCUCCAGUCACCUGUUGGCGGGGGAGGCAGACUCUCACCUGCCUGGAGGGAGAACAGAGUCAACUCUCAACAACGUCUAACUGGAAUUUGCUGAAGUCGAAGAGAAACACGCAUUUCCCCAAGUCGGCAGAGGUCACAACUCACAUUCCAAAUAUGACAGGGAUGAUGUUACACGGCGGGUCUGGGGGGGGGUGGGGGGUGUCUCGGGACAGAGGGUGGUAAAGAGCUCUGCAAGUUGGCCUGAAGGAAAUGGAGAAGCAUUGGGAGUCUUGCUCCAAAGAAUAUUCAACAAAGAGUAGCCUGUCUCCAUCCUCCACACCCAAAAUGCAUGGUGCAUGUGUGUGUAUAUGUGUGUCCAUGUGUUUGAGCACUUGCUGGAGACCCGCCACCUUCCCUAAAUGUGUUCGGGUUAAUUUCACUUGCUCUGAGUUGUCCCUCAUCCUAAAGUCAGUCUACACUUAGGUGUCUGGCUGGAAGCAUCUUUCCCUGCACUGCAGUCGGGUUCCCUUGUGCUGUUGUCCAUCACGUGUAUGCCACGACAUGACCAUCUUCUGCUUGACUCUUCGAUGAGAUCCCAAGACCGUGUUCCGCAUUUUUUCACUUCUCUCCAUUCCCCCCAACAUUUAACCCAGAAAUAUGCUGGAAAUGGAUAGAUGCUUAUGGAGUGAUAAAAAAAUAAGCAAGGUCACAAAUCCGAAGAAAGACUUUAGAUCUGGGUUUUUGUUUUUUUUUUCCUAGAGUUCUAUCUGAACAGAAAUCACAUGUUAAAUAAAUGACUAAACUUUG